rnacentral:rRNA from 1 species
UACGUAGGGUGCGAGCGUUAAUCGGAAUUACUGGGCGUAAAGCGUGCGCAGGCGGUCUGUUAAGACCGAUGUGAAAUCCCCGGGCUUAACCUGGGAACUGCAUUGGUGACUGGCAGGCUUGAGUGUGGCAGAGGGAGGUAGAAUUCCACGUGUAGCAGUGAAAUGCGUAGAGAUGUGGAGGAAUACCGAUGGCGAAGGCGCCUCCUGGGCCAACACUGACGCUCAUGCACGAAAGCGUGGGGAGCAAACAGG